rnacentral:lncRNA from 1 species
GGGAGAGCGGUGGUGUGUGGGGGAGGGGGGAGUCGACCAUGUCGUAUAAGACAUGAGAGCGUAUGUCUUACAAAGUCGCUCAUAUCUCAGGAAUGGUAAUGGCUAGAGGCGUUCUGUUUUUUUCCUCGAAAAGAGGACACUUCAGGCUUGUGCGUUGUAAAUGGGCUGUUCUAUGGGCAGGUCAGUGUCCAAUCAAAACUAUCGAGCGAUAUCACAAGGGGCUCAAAUAUCCAAUUGUAGAGCCUUUGUGCUCUGACAUAGUGUAUCAAAGAUGUCUUCUGAAGACGAGGAGUAGCUCCCCUGACUAGCUGGAUCGUCGACACGUCUGAAAAGCGGCUCUGAAUGCAAUAAUGGGGCAUAGCGGACCGUUAUCUUAGUCGGAAUAACACACAGGAUAACCUGCAACCCAGCAAAGUCCUUGUAACCACUUUUAAAGAUAAGACAGAAGUUGCUAAAAACAUUUUCCAUGUUAACAGUGCCAAGGAUCUCAUUGAUCAAAGCCUAGCCCAGCAAACUGGCUGUGUGCUUGACAGGUUGUUAAAGUAUAAUACUGAUUUCAUGAAAUACAUUGAUGUUGACAUGAAUGAGGAGGAACUGAAGGAUUUGGAUAGAUAUCACAUCUUUCUAUCAACACAAGGGACCCAAGUUGAAUGUGUGGAGGCAAAUCAAAAUCAGGCUCAACCACACACUGAAGGUGCAGGCGGUCAAUGGGAGGUACGUGUCAUUAUGAUAAUGAGUGUUUACAGUCACACAAUCUUCACAAUUAGCAUUGACAUUUAUUUCUUUUAAAGACUGAACCUAGUGCUAGUGAAGCUUGUCAGAGUGGUCCACUGGAGGUAUUUACAAUAUCUAUUGGUUACAGAUGUUGUUUUAUUAUAUAUGGAAGAGGGUGUGUAUAAUGCAAUAUGUGUGUUGUAAUCUGCUUUCACAGAAAUGCCAAGGAGAAAAUGAUGGCGUGCACAGAUUUGAUGCAGCCAAUCUGGUGGUGCUAAUUAAUAACAAAGCCCCAAGUGUACUUGCCGAAUAUGAAAAAUCUGGAACGCUCUCUCUGGCAUCCAGAAAACUCCUUGUGAGAACAGGUGUCAGCGAUCUGGUUGAGCGACGGGGAUUUUACCCCUCCAAUGCUGACAAACUGAUGUUGGCUAAAAGCAUAACAACAAUCUUCCCAUCAUUAAAGAUCAAGAUACAAGAGGCGAAUGAAGGAUUUGAGCACUUUUAUGAUCCAGUGUCCCACUGUGGAUUCAUUGAGUUGAAACUGAGGAACUGCGGAGAAACCUUCAUGAAGAUCAGAGACGCUAUCGCAAACGCGGAAAGUCCAGUGAGGCUUCUGGAGUAGCUAUAACAUUACAAGCAAUUUCAGAAGGGGAAGAAGAGUCCGCCAAGGAUUGGAUAACAGCUACCAAAAGGAUCAGACCAUCUCCUGAGAACCUCACAUCUAUCAAAAUGGGCAUGCAGACAGACCAC